rnacentral:rRNA from 1 species
ACAACCAGGAUGUUGGCUUAGAAGCAGCCACUCAUUAAAAGAGUGCGUAAUAGCUCACUGGUCGAGUGAUUCUGCGCCGAAAAUUUAACGGGGCUAAACUAUACACCGAAGCUUAGGAUACCGCAAGGUAUGGUAGGAGAGCGUUCUGUACGGAGUGAAGUCGUAGCGAAAGCGGCGGUGGACUGUACAGAAGUGAGAAUGCCGGAAUAAGUAGCGAGAAUUAAGUGAGAAUCUUAAUGGCCGAAAGUCUAAGGUUUUUGGAGGAAGGUUCGUCCGCUCCAAGUAAGUCGGGAGCUAAGGUCAGGCCGAAAGGCGUAGCCGAUGCACAAACGGUUGAUAUUCCGUUACCGUCUACAAUUUAAACAAAGGGACACAUACAAAGCGUUUAACCCGGGCGAUGGUUGACCCGGGCGCAAGGGACUGAAAUAAGAGUAGGGAAGUAAAUGUGGCGUAUGGCGAGAAAAGCUUUGUGAAUAGAAGUAGACGCCCGUACCGCAAACCGACACAGGUGGACAGGAAGAGAAUUCUAAGGCCAGCGGGAGAAGGGUAGUUAAGGAACUCGGCAAAUUGACUCCGUAACUUCGGAAUAAGGAGUGCUCGAAAGAGCCGCAGAGAAUAGGCCCAGGCGACUGUUUAGCAAAAACACAGGUCUCUGCCAAAUCGAAAGAUGAAGUAUAGGGGCUGACACCUGCCCGGUGCCGGAAGGUUAAGAGGAGGAGUGCAAGCUCCGAAUUGAAGCCCCGGUAAACGGCGGCCGUAACUAUAACGGUCCUAAGGUAGCGAAAUUCCUUGUCGGGUAAGUUCCGACCCGCACGAAUGGUGUAACGAUCUGGGCACUGUCUCAACUACCCACCCGGCGAAAUUGUAGUACCGGUGAAGAUGCCGGUUACCUGCGGCAAGACGGAAAGACCCCAUGGAGCUUUACUGUAGCCUGAUAUUGGGUUUCGGAAAUCUAUGUACAGGAUAGGCGGGAGACUGGGAAGUAUGAGCGUCAGCUUAUACGGAGUCGUUGUUGGGAUACCGCCCUUAGGUUUCUGGAAUUCUAACCUGCGACCGUGAAUCCGGUCGGGGGACAUUGUCAGGUGGGCAGUUUGACUGGGGCGGUCGCCUCCGAAAAGGUAACGGAGGCGCUCAAAGGUUGGCUCAGCACGGACGGAAACCGUGCCUCAGAGUGUAAACGCAAAAGCCAGCCUAACUGCGAGGAUGACGGUCCGAGCAGUAACGAAAGUUGGAGUUAGUGAUCCGGCGGUAUGUGAAUGGAAAUGCCGUCGCUCAACGGAUAAAAGCUACCCUGGGGAUAACAGGCUGAUCUCCCCCAAGAGUCCACAUCGACGGGGAGGUUUGGCACCUCGAUGUCGGCUCAUCACAUCCUGGGGCUGUAUUCGGUCCCAAGGGUUCGGCUGUUCGCCGAUUAAAGUGGUACGCGAGCUGGGUUCAGAACGUCGCGAGACAGUUCGGUCCCUAUCUGUCGUGGGCGCAGGAUAUUUGAGGAGCUCUGUCCUUAGUACGAGAGGACCGGGAUGGACGUACCUCUGGUGCACCAGUUGUCAUGCCAAUGGCACGGCUGGGCAGCUACGUACGGAACGGAUAAACGCUGAAAGCAUCUAAGCGUGAAGCCGACUCCAAGAUUAGAUAUCCCAUUGCAUAAGCAAGUAAGACCCCUUGAGGACUACGAGGUUGAUAGGCUGCGUGUGUAAGUGUCGUGAGGCAUUUAGCUUGGCAGUACUAAUAGGUCGAGGGCUUGACCAC